AUUGAACGCUGGCGGCAGGCUUAACACAUGCAAGUCGAGCGAGCGGCGGACGGGUGAGUCAUGUCUGGGAAACUGCCUGAUGGAGGGGGAUAACUACUGGAAACGGUAGCUAAUACCGCAUACCAUCAGAUGUGCCCAGAUGGGAUAAGCUAGUAGGGGGGGUAAUGGCUCCCCUAGGCGACGAUCCCUAGCUGGUCUGAGAGGAUGACACGCGACACUGUAACUGAGCCACUGUCCAGACUCCUACGGGAUUCAGCAGUGGCGAAUAUUGCUCAAUGGCCGCAAGCCUUAUGCAGCCAUGCCGCUGGUGUGAAGCAGGCCUUCUGGUUGUAAAGCACUUUCAGCGGGGAGGCGUUACCCGCAGAAGAAGCACCGGCUAACUCCGUGCCAGCAGCCGCGGUAAUUC
rnacentral:rRNA from 1 species